rnacentral:rRNA from 1 species
GGGCCCGCACAAGCGGUGGAGCAUGUGGUUUAAUUCGAAGCAACGCGAAGAACCUUACCAGGUCUUGACAUCCUUUGACCACUCUAGAGAUAGAGCUUCCCCUUCGGGGGGCAAAGUGACAGGUGGUGCAUGGUUGUCGUCAGCUCGUGUCGUGAGAUGUUGGGUUAAGUCCCGCAACGAGCGCAACCCUUAUUGUUAGUUGCCAUCAUUCAGUUGGGCACUCUAGCAAGACUGCCGGUGACAAACCGGAGGAAGGUGGGGAUGACGUCAAAUCAUCAUGCCCCUUAUGACCUGGGCUACACACGUGCUACAAUGGGAAGUACAACGAGUUGCGAAGUCGCGAGGCUAAGCUAAUCUCUUAAAGCUUCUCUCAGUUCGGAUUGCAGGCUGCAACUCGCCUGCAUGAAGCCGGAAUCGCUAGUAAUCGCGGAUCAGCACGCCGCGGUGAAUACGUUCCCGGGCCUUGUACACACCGCCCGUCACACCACGAGAGUUUGUAACACCCGAAGUCGGUGAGGUAACCUUUUUGGAGCCAGCCGCCUAAGGUGGGAUAGAUGAUUGGGGUGAAGUCGUAACAAGGUAGCCGUAUCGGAAGGUGCGGCUG